rnacentral:rRNA from 1 species
CCUACGGGGGGCAGCAGUGAGGAAUAUUGGUCAAUGGGCUUACGCCUGAACCAGCCAAGUCGCGGGAGGGAAGACUGCCCUAUGGGUUGUAAACCUCUUUUGUCAGGGAGCAACGCCGGCUACGUGUAGCCGGACGGAGAGUACCUGAAGAAAAAGCAGCGGCGAACUCCGUGCCAGCAGCCGCGGUAAUACGGAGGAUGCGAGCGUGAUCCGGAUUGAUGGGGUUAAAAGGGUGGGUAGGCGGAAUGCCAAGUCAGCGGUAAAAUCGCGGGGCUCAACCUCGCUCCGCCGUUGAAACUGGCGUUCUUGAGUGGGCGAGAAGUAAGCGGAAUGCGUGGUGUAGCGGUGAAAUGCAUAGAUAUCACGCAGAACUCCGAUUGCGAAGGCAGCAUACCGGCGCCCAACUGACGCUGAGGCACGAAAGCGUGGGUAUCGAACAGGAUUAGAUACCCGAGUAGUC